GGCGACGUAGCCAAGAGGGAAGGCAGGAGUCUGCAAAACUCUUAUUCACCGGUUCGAUUCCGGUCGUCGCCU
rnacentral:tRNA from 1 species